AAGACUUGAAAUGAGUUCUAAAUCUAUUUGCACUCUUUUCCUUCUACUCUUGUUGAUUUUUUUGCUUUGAACACUAAUCAACUGACCUUGUGAUUGUUCCUCUUUUGCAGCCUUCCAUAAACGGGCGAUAGAACUCCGACAACAUCCCCAUUUCGCCAUGGCAGCCGUAUGCGUCCCGUAGUGGAGCUUCCCAUUUGUAGAGUUUUGAAGAAGAAACAAUGCAAUAGCUUGUCUUUCUUCACUAGUUAGAUCUUUCCUUCUUGUCAUCUUCUUUUUCUUUUUUUUCUUUUUUGGUGGGAAGUGUUUUUUGAGCUAUGAAUCUGUGUAGAAUUGCUGCCGAAAUUUUGAUGAAAUUAGUGUGGCAAAGACCCCUUUUAUAGGGAUUGUAAACAUAUCUUUUGGUGGGAAUUUUAAAUUCAGUUUUUGUGCAAUUUAAUUGAAGCAGCGCCUUUUUUACCUUUUCAGUUCAGUUUUUAAAUUCAACUUUUUUGUGCAAUUAAAUUUAGCUUUUGUG
rnacentral:lncRNA from 1 species